ensembl:lncRNA
AGCCUAUAAACAGAAGGGGAGUCAACUGCAUAACAGGAUAGCUAACAGGAGAACAAGGGGAAAUGGUUUUAAGUUGAGGGAAGGAAGAUUUAGGUUGGAUGUCAGGGGGAAGUUCGUCACUAUAACAAUGGUGAGGAUGAGAAACAAGCACCCAAAGAGACUGAGGAUGCACAGUCCCCGGAGAUGUUCAAGGCCAGGUUGGAUGGGGAGCUGGGCAGCCUGUUUUAGUAUCAAAUGAGGAGGUUGGAGGCCCCACCUGUGGGAGGGGGGGAUGGAGAUGCAUGAUACUUGAGGGCCUUGAAACCUGGAUCACUCUGAGAUUCCGUGAGAAAGGUUGGCAGGAAAUUCAACCAGUAAGAAACAAAAGCCUUAACGCUAUCAAAAACUAAAACCAAGACUAAAUAGACAAAGGAAAUGAACAGCAAAUAUAACAGGAAGAACAACAUAAAAAAUAUAUUCUCAGCUGAUUGUGCUGCGAAAAAGGCUGAUAAAGUCAUAAAAAACCAUUCAAACUGAGGCUCCAAAUAAAAUGAUAAUGAGAUAAACACACAAACAGAUUGCUAACUUGAUUUGAAGCCCAGGUCCCCACGCCGCUGCUUCUUCUUUCUUCUGCAGCAGCUCCUGAAACAUCAGCGGGGACACCAUUAGACCCGCGCAGUGGCAAGCCCCCCACCCGACGGAAAAGGCAAACGCAGCAUCGCAAAGGAACUCGGCACGCAAACACCCAGCCAAGAAAGGCUUUGCAAACCUGUUCCCUCCCCCCUCCACCUCCCCAGCUUCAUCCCAGCAAAAACUACUUUCAGCAGCUUUUCUCACCUCACUGAUGCGUGGCGGACUUCCAGCCGGUGCUGCGGGGGAUCACAGAGGCGGGCGGGAUGAGCAAAUAUGUUUGGGCAAAUUUGUCUGGCAACAGAAUUAGCAGCGGCCAAAGAGUCAACUUCCCUGCUUACAGGAGAUCCCCAGCCACUGCUUCCAUUACUAAGAGAACUGUACUCAUCACAGUAACUGUUCUUUUUUAUGUCAAUCACGUUGCUAUCUGUACUAUCCUUAGAUCUGUGGAUACCCCUUCUAACAGUGAGGUUUUUUUUUGCUGCAUGGUUACCUUAUUUUCUUUUUCAUUUGAGAUUCUGUGUUCCACAUAUUCAUCUUAUUUUCUCAUUCCCCAGUUUUGAUCAGUGUAUUGAUAGGAUGUUUGAAGUGAGGCAGCCAACUCAGUACAUCUAGUGCUGUUGAUAGACUUUAGGAAGGAUUGAAGAUUCUGACUUUAAGGCCUCCAUUUUUUUUAUAGUUUUCAAUCUGUUUUUUUUUUUUAUUCAGAUUCAUCAUUGUUUUCAGCUUCUUAAACACCAGAACAUUAACUUAGUACUUCCCACUUUUCAACCUCAGUGUGUCUGUCAUGACAUGCCCCAUACCCACCACCCCAUUUGUUAUUGAAUAAACAUAUGAACAUAUGGAUCUACUCUCCAUUCUCAGAUACUUCUGCUUUAUUACAGCUGCUUAUCGUCUAGUAGCUUCUUCUUCCACGUGGCAGCUUGCCACGUUCGGUGCUUAUCGCCGUGCUCCCCCC